rnacentral:sRNA from 1 species
AUUACAGGGUGUGAUGGAAGCACACAAGACUUGCUAAGGAGAGGGAACUGGCGACCCGAAGGCUGCGGCUUCCUAGCCGUGAGCGGGGGUUGAGACAUGUCAUGCUGCCCAAGGACAUAGCCAAGCUGGUCCCUAAAACCCAUCUGAUGUCUGAAUCUGAAUGGAGGAAUCUUGGCGUUCAGCAGAGUCAGGGAUGGGUCCAUUAUAUGAUCCAUGAACCAGAACCUCACAUCUUGCUGUUCCGGCGCCCACUACCCAAGAAACCAAAGAAAUGAAGCUGGCAAGCUACUUUUCAGCCUCAAGCUUUACACAGCUGUCCUUACUUCCUAACAUCUUUCUGAUAACAUUAUUAUGUUGCCUUCUUGUUUCUCACUUUGAUAUUUAAAAGAUGUUCAAUACACUGUUUGAAUGUGCUGGUAACUGCUUUGCUUCUUGAGUAGAGCCACCACCACCAUAGCCCAGCCAGAUGAGUGCUCUGUGGACCCACAGCCUCAGCUGAGUGUGACCCCAGAACCCACGAUGUGCUCUGUAUCCAGAACACACUUGGCAGAUGGAGGAAGCAUCUGAGUUUGAGACCAUGGCUGUUACAGGGAUCAUGUAAACUUGCUGUUUUUGUUUUUUCCUGCCGGGUGUUGUAUGUAUGGUGACUUGCGGAUUUAUGUUUCAGUGUACUGGAAACUUUCCAUUUUAUUCAAGAAAUCUGUUCAUGUUAAAAGCCUUGAUUAAAGAGGAAGUUUUU